GGAAUUUUGGACAAUGGGCGCAAGCCUGAUCCAGCAAUGCCGCGUGCAGGAUGAAGGCCUUCGGGUUGUAAACUGCUUUUGUACGGAACGAAACGGUCUCUUCUAAUACAAGAGGCUAAUGACGGUACCGUAAGAAUAAGCACCGGCUAACUACGUGCCAGCAGCCGCGGUAAUACGUAGGGUGCGAGCGUUAAUCGGAAUUACUGGGCGUAAAGCGUGCGCAGGCGGUUAUAUAAGACAGAUGUGAAAUCCCCGGGCUCAACCUGGGACCUGCAUUUGUGACUGUAUAGCUAGAGUACGGUAGAGGGGGAUGGAAUUCCGCGUGUAGCAGUGAAAUGCGUAGAUAUGCGGAGGAACACCGAUGGCGAAGGCAAUCCCCUGGACCUGUACUGACGCUCAUGCACGAAAGCGUGGGGAGCAAACAGGAUUAGAUACCCUGGUAGUCCACGCCCUAAACGAUGUCAACUGGUUGUUGGGUCUUCACUGACUCAGUAACGAAGCUAACGCGUGAAGUUGACCGCCUGGGGAGUACGGCCGCAAGGUUGAAACUCAAAUGAAUUGACGG
rnacentral:rRNA from 1 species